rnacentral:lncRNA from 1 species
GGGAACUCAGCGCCAAUUACCUCCAGGAGAAGCUGCAGCGGGACCUGGAGGCGGAGCAUGUGGAGGUGGAGGACACGACCUUCAACCUGUAGCUUCCGAGUCCUGGUGGUGUCAGCUGCUGCUUCAGAGACACCAGCUGGUGAAUGCGUGCCUAGCAGAAGAGCUCCCACACAUCCAUGCCUUUGAACAGAAAACCCUGACCCCAGAGCAGUGGGCCCGUGAGCAGCAGAAA